rnacentral:rRNA from 1 species
AGUCGAACGCAGUAGCAAUACUGAGUGGCAAACGGGUGAGUAUAAUGUGGGAAUCUGCCUUUUGGUUCGGAAUAACACGAGGAAACUUGUGCUAAUACCGGAUAAGCCCUUACGGGGAAAGUUUUAAUGCCAAAAGAUGAGCCCGCACUUGAUUAGAUAGUUGGUAAGGUAAUGGCUUACCAAGGCAACGAUCAAUAGCUGUUCUUAGAGGAAGACAAGCCACAUUGGGACUGAGAAAAGGAAAAAAAGAC